rnacentral:tRNA from 1 species
GGGGAUAUAUCUCAGUUGGUAGAGAGCUUUGCCUAGGAGGCACAAGUCCCUGGGUUCAAUCCCCAGCACCACUA